UUUUUCUUUCCACUUUUUAGAACUGCACCCAUGGCAUAUGGAAGUUCUCAGGCUAGGGGUCGAAUCAGCUACAGCUACCAGCCACAGCAAUGAGGGAUCCAAGCUGCACCUGCAACCUACACCACAGCUCACGGCAAUGUCGGAUCCCUGACCCACUGAGCAAGGAACCCACAUCCUCAGAGAUAUUAGUCAGAUUCAUUUCUGCUGCGCCACAAUGGGAACUCCUCACACUGCAGCAUAUAGAAGAUCCCAGGCCAGGGGUCAAAUUCGAGCUGCACUUGUGAUAUACUCCACACCUGAAGCAAUGCCAGAUCCUUAAUCCACUGCACAGGCUGGGGAUCCAAUCUAUGCUUCAGCAGUGACCUGAGCUGCUGCAGAGAUACCAACACAUACUUAACCCACUAUGCCACAGUGGGACCUCCACAUUUUUCUAAUAUUGGUCAAUAGAUAUUUUUUAAAAGCAAAAAUAUUUCUUUUAGGUCUUUAGGAGAAUACACAAAUUAUUAAUAAAGGAGAACUGGUCUACUGUCACACUAAGUAUGAUACACAACAAAUGAAAUCAUUAACGUUACAAUUCUGAAAGUUUUACACCUUUUCCUUCAAAGAUCCCACAGUAAUAAAAACAUCUCUCCCUCCCUCCCUCUCUCUCUCCCUCUCUCUCUCUCUCUCUCACACACACACACACACACACACACACAGAUUUUUCAAAAGGAAAAACAAAUGAUAUACACCAUAGACCAGUAGGUUAGGGUAGCAGAGACAUGAAAGAGGGUUGCUGUGGUGCUUCCUCUUAGGGAUCAGCAUAAAUUCAACACCAUGUCCAUUCCAGUGUUUUUUCUUUGCCUAAAAACCCUUGCCACCUUACCAUGAUUUUCACUCCCAGCACAGUAAGUUGGGAGAACAAAAAAAGGGAGAAUAAGUUACAGAGGUUCUUAGAGCUCUGAAGGUAAAUGUUUCUAGAACUCUACUUCUAGGUUGAGUGAAGAAAACAAGGCUGCCCUCCUGGACUGGGGUGUGGCAAGUAUGUGCAGCUGAUCCUAGAACUGAGUGGAAUCUGGAAUCUGCACAAGAACCAACAAGCUCACAGGAGAAGCACUGACUGAACCUGUGUUUAGCAGCCUUAACCAUCUGUUUUCAAGUGGAUUAUGAUUUGCAAAACUGAGCCUUAGUGCCAUCCUGAAUGACCCAACAGCAGCAAUGGAAUUGAGGAAGGUGAAAGAGGGUGUCAUUUACAAUGACCAGUCUAAGAGCCAGUUUUAAAGAAUGACCCAUGAAAACUCAUAAAUUGGAAUUUAAGCCCAGGCCCCUAAGUUUCCCCAAAGUGUUUGGAUAAAACACUUAAAAAUAAAACUCUGAAUAGACGACUACACUUCUCCAGUUUCUUCUUAGUUCUUUAAAAACAACCCAAAUUGCCUGUAUUAUCUCAUCCAAAUCCACUAAAAUAUAAACACCACGAGAACAGGGACUUUGUGUUCUUUGCUGUGUACGUAGUAGUGAGAACAGUGCCUGGUACACAGCAGGGGCUCAAGAUAUAUCUGUAGAGAGGAUGAAUACACUUUAAAGAGCUCACUAGCUCUGGUCCUCCUUUUCAGAGGACCUUUUCAGGUCCUCUGGGAGCAGUGGUCCUAUGGGAGCAGUGCCUUAUAUUGCAUAUUAUUAUUAUUUUUAAAGUAUAGUUGAUUUAUGAUGUUUCCUCAAGUUCUAUUGUACAGCAAAGUGACCCAAUUACACACAUCUCCCUGUGCUGUACAGUAAGGCCCCAUGGCCCAUCCAUUCAAAAUGUAACAGUCUGUAUCCAAAAAACCCAACCAUCCCACUCCCUCUCCUUCCCCCCACCCCGCCCCGGGGAAUCCCAAGUCUGCUCUCCUUGGGUAUGAUCUGUUUCUGCAUGUUUUAUUUUAAAAUUUAAAAAAUGCUAUCUAUAUUAUAUAUAUAAAUCAUAUAUAAUUUACAUUGCAAUCAAUACUAUAUGUAGUAGGAGAUGGCUCCAUGGGUUUUUCUCCCACUAUGGUCUUUUAAAGAAGAAAAGAUGCUCAUCUGAAUUGGUGAAAUAGGUUGCAUGGUGAAAUCCAGCCCCAGAACACAGUGUGUGGCUGAGCUUGUCUAACCACCACCCACUAAGGGAAAGGAAUCGGGACAAAGGGCCAGCCAAUCUAUUCACUCCUGGGUAAAUGUGAUAAUCCAAAACAAAACAAAACAAAACAAACCAACCAGAAUAUUUUUAUGGCAUGUCAUUUUUUGGUUUCCCCACCUCUUCAGCUGUAGGGAAGGUGUGUAGGGGUAGGGGUGUGUGUGUGUGUUUAUUUAUUCAAUUUAUUUAUUUAUGGUCUUUAACUUCUUUCUGCCUUUACCCAGACUGAUCACCCUGCGUACCAGAGGAGGGCUUCUUUUGUUCUGUUCCACCUCUUUAAAACCCAGUGUAAACAAACAAACAAGCAAACAAAAAACCAGUGUAGACAUUUCCUCCUCCAGAAAGCUUUCUUCGAUUCCCCCCACCAGUGAUAAAUGCCCCUUCCCUGUGCCUUCAUAGUGCCCUAUGCACAACUUCAAGGAGCACAGGGCACUAUGUCGAGGUUUUAUUUUUAUUGUUGUCAUUGUUUUGGUUCUUUCUUCAAUUACUCCAUUAGUUUCUUUGGAGUAUGGAGUCUUCUAUUUCUUU
ensembl:lncRNA